rnacentral:rRNA from 1 species
GUUUGAUCCUGGCUCAGGAUGAACGCUAGCUACAGGCUUAACACAUGCAAGUCGAGGGGUAGCAGGGUAGCAAUACCGCUGACGACCGGCGCACGGGUGAGUAACACGUAUCCCACCUACCAUUCACACGGGGAUAGCCUUUCGAAAGAAAGAUUAAUACCCGAUAGUAUAACGAUAAGGCAUCUUAUUGUUAUUAAAGGAUUUCGGUGUUUGAUGGGGAUGCGUUCCAUUAGAUUGUUGGUGAGGUAACGGCUCACCAAGUCUUCGAUGGAUAGGGGUUCUGAGAGGAAGGUCCCCCACAUUGGAACUGAGACACGGUCCAAACUCCUACGGGAGGCAGCAGUGAGGAAUAUUGGUCAAUGGACGAGAGUCUGAACCAGCCAAGUAGCGUGAAGGAUGAAGGCCCUAUGGGUCGUAAACUUCUUUUAUAGGGGAAUAAAGUGCGGAACGUGUUCCGCCUUGUAUGUACCCUACGAAUAAGGAUCGGCUAACUCCGUGCCAGCAGCCGCGGUAAUACGGAGGAUCCGAGCGUUAUCCGGAUUUAUUGGGUUUAAAGGGAGCGUANGUGGAUAUAUNAGUCAGUUGUGAAAGUUUGCGGCUCACCCGUAAAAUUGCANUUGAUACUGUAUAUCUNGAGUGUACAAGANGUAGGCGGAAUUCGUGGUGUAA